UCGUGAGACAGGUUAGUUUUACCCUACUGGUGUGCGAACGAACACGAACGCUAUCUUAACGGAAAUGCUGUGCAGUACGAGAGGAACCACAGCUUCGUGGGCUGUGCAGUACGAGAGGAACCACAGCUUCUCUCGUAUUGCAUCUGGCAAAUGCAGGCACCCAAUAGAUAGCUCGUGUGCGGUACUCCUUGGAGGAUCGUUUAACUUGCGACUCUGGGUGCCUGAACUCCCGUUCUUACCUUCACGUGGUGCCCAGCGGGAUACCCGAUAGUUGUUUUCACUUCUGGUCGGGUAUGCGAACAAGAAGGGGGUGGUCCGAAAGCCUGAGUGUGGGGAAAGGUACCUAGUCACGUCUUAGGGCCGGACCUGAGCACCGUGCUCAGGCUUUUCUGGUGUA
rnacentral:ncRNA from 1 species